ACGGGUGAGCGGAUACCAUGGUGACAGGUGAGCGGAUACCAUGGUGACGGGUGAGCGGAUACCAUGGUGACGGGUGAGCGGAUACCAUGGGGACUGGCUGCAGUAAAAUCAACACCUGCCAGAUCCACUGAUCGGACCAGCAAAGCUCCUGAACCAGCACCGGUCCCGGGCCCGUCUCUAUCCCCAACCCAGGCGCCGCCCCGGCCACUCCUCUACCCGAAGCUGGAAGACCUCAUGGUCUCCCCUACAGGGUUUAAACCUCCGUCUGCCUCCACUCCCUCUUCCCACACCGCCUUCAUUCCUUCUCCUGAACCAGCUCCCAUGUUUACCAGGUCCGGACGAUCAGCCGACCCUGACCAGGCUUUCCUUUUGGCUCGUUUAGUAGCUGGGAGACUACAGAGACAGGUUGGAGAAGUCUUUCAGGAAAUACAGUGGCCUGACCAGCUCUGAGAACUUUAAUAGCCUGCUAAAGGCUGCCCUGGUGCGUGGACUUCAGCUUGCUUUGAGCAAAACUGUGAAACUCACUUGCAUUGGGUGGGAGACAGUACCUCAACAGACUGUGACUGAACAUUGUAAACAUGCAGAACGGCAGCAGCAGUCUGCUGAUAACAAGGCUACAUCCAAACAAGAAAAGGAAAACACCAAGCUCCAGGCUGCUCAGCUCAUGUAUUAUCAGGGAGAAGGUCAGCAAUUCAGCCGAAAAGGGGGGAGGAAUUGGUGGAUUUCCGAGGAGUGGAGGAGAUCAGAGGGGAGGACGAGGCCGUGGGAGAGGUGGACAGGGAUGGAGUGGGGACCAGACAAGAGAUCAGUCAUGUUCCAGUUGUGGUAAAUAUGGUCACUUUUAUAGAAGGUGCCCUGAACUGGAGAGACAGGAAGUUGUGGGUGGCGGAUGGCAGACGGGACCACCACACAAUGUCACACUCAAUAAACCUAAGGAUGACUGAAGUGUGUUUCACAGAAGCAGUUCCUUAAGAGAUUUACCAAGUCCAAAGAUACCUUGUGUUACCCUUCUGAUCGAAGGAAUCGUAUGAGAAACCCGGCAGCUGUCGCUAUGGAAACUAAACCCACGGCAGGUAUGACGACAGUCUUCGGAUGGUACCAGUCGGGUCCAACCAGUCGAGUUUUACCUGGAGGGGUGAGAUUCAAUGUUAGCCAACUCCACAAACAACAUGAAAUAUUCCUGUCAAACUUGGGGAGGUCUAAGACUUUAGAUAAAAGGGAACCUGAGUGAAGAAAACAAUGAUAAAGAAUUUAAGAAACACCCAAGGCCGCCAUUGUGAAAAAGCAAUCGUCCCCCUUAGGAGAAACAUUUCUGCCAUUUAGUUUUUUGUAAUGACUCCAUUGGUCAUAAAGGCCCAGUUAUUAUUUCAUUACAUCCAGACAUUCAGAUAAAGACAUCUGACUCAAUAUUUUUCAUUCUACCAGUUCUGUUCAAUGUGCUUGUUCAGUUCAUUCCUCCCAGCCUUUCACAUUAAACAUAGUUGUUGCUGACCAGUCUCCUGCAGGGCCUCUGAGGAACUUGGCCCACUUUGCACAGAGCUGCAAUAACUCAGUGAAUCUGUUGGCAUUGAGCGUGAACUGCUUGUUUCAGGUCUUGCCUAGGCAUCUCAGUGGGGUUAAGGCCUGGACAUUGAGUGGGACGUUACAAAACAUAAAAAAAAGUAUUGCUCUUUCAACAUUCUGCUGUAGAUGUGCUUGGGGGUUUCAGAUCGUUCACUCCGCUUCAGCUCACUAACAGAUGGCCUGACAUUAUCCUGUGGAAAUCUGUGAUGCAAAGCAGAAGUCAUAGAUCCUUCAACAAAGACAAGAUGUCCAGGUCCUGAUGUGGAAAAACGUCCUCAAACAGUGACAUGGCAACAACACCAGACUUGACCAUUGGUUCCCGUGACACAGCCAACACAAGGCUUGACCAUUGCUUCCUGUGACACGGCCAACACCAGGCUUAGCCAUUGGUUCCUGUGACAAGGCCAACACCAGGCUUAGCCAUUGGUUCCUGUGACACAGCCAACACAAGGCUUGACCAUUGGUUCCUGUGACACAGCCAACACAAGGCUUGACCAUUGGUUCCUGCGAUGACCAAACUGACAGGGAAAGCCAAAAUCAGUCAGAUUUUUAUUGGGCAGGGCUGGCGCCAGUCAGGUCUGAUUGUUUACCAAGGUGUUCAAAACACCUGACCCUAAGAAUCCCUUUAUAACUACGGUGGAAUAUUGCAUGUUUGAUUACAUAGCAACAUCAAACAAAUAAAAAUAUAUAUACAACCCGGUUUUCAAAAAAGUUGGGAU